rnacentral:rRNA from 1 species
AACGAACGCUGGCGGCAGGCUUAACACAUGCAAGUCGAGCGCCUCGCAAGAGGAGCGGCAGACGGGUGAGUAACGCGUGGGAACGUACCCUUAUCUUCGGAAUAGCUCUGGGAAACUGGAAGUAAUACCGAAUGUGCCCUUAGGGGGAAAGAUUUAUCGGAUAAGGAUCGGCCCGCGUUGGAUUAGCUAGUUGGUGGGGUAAAGGCCUACCAAGGCGACGAUCCAUAGCUGGUCUGAGAGGAUGAUCAGCCACAUUGGGACUGAGACACGGCCCAAACCCCUACGGGAGGCAGCAGUGGGGAAUAUUGGACAAUGGGCGCAAGCCUGAUCCAGCCAUGCCGCGUGAGUGAUGAAGGCCUUAGGGUUGUAAAGCUCUUUCACCGGAGAAGAUAAUGACGGUAUCCGGAGAAGAAGCCCCGGCUAACUUCGUG